rnacentral:rRNA from 1 species
UGCCAGACUCCUACGGGAGGCAGCAGUGGGGAAUAUUGCACAAUGGGGGAAACCCUGAUGCAGCAACGCCGCGUGAGUGAAGAAGUAUUUCGGUAUGUAAAGCUCUCUCAGCAGGGAAGAAAAUGACGGUACCUGAGUAAGAAGCCCCGGCUAACUACGUGCCAGCAGCCGCGGUAAUACGUAGGGGGCAAGCGUUAUCCGGAUUUACUGGGUGUAAAGGGAGCGUAGACGGCGAUACAAGUCUGAAGUGAAAGCCCGGGGCUCAACCCCGGGACUGCUUUGGAAACUGUGUUGCUGGAGUGCUGGAGAGGCAAGCGGAAUUCCUAGUGUAGCGGUGAAAUGCGUAGAUAUUAGGAAGAACACCAGUGGCGAAGGCGGCUUGCUGGACAGUAACUGACGUUGAGGCUCGAAAGCGUGGGGAGCAAACAGGAUUAGAUACCCGCGUACC